UGGGGAAUUUUGGACAAUGGGGGCAACCCUGAUCCAGCCAUGCCGCGUGCGGGAAGAAGGCCUUCGGGUUGUAAACCGCUUUUGUUCGGGAAGAAAUCGUCCUCGCUAAUACCGGGGGCGGAUGACGGUACCGGAAGAAUAAGCACCGGCUAACUACGUGCCAGCAGCCGCGGUAAUACGUAGGGUGCAAGCGUUAAUCGGAAUUACUGGGCGUAAAGCGUGCGCAGGCGGUUUCGCAAGUCAGAUGUGAAAGCCCCGGGCUUAACCUGGGAACUGCAUUUGAAACUACGAGGCUAGAGUGUGUCAGAGGGGGGUAGAAUUCCACGUGUAGCAGUGAAAUGCGUAGAGAUGUGGAGGAAUACCGAUGGCGAAGGCAGCCCCCUGGGAUAACACUGACGCUCAUGCACGAAAGCGUGGGGAGCAAACA
rnacentral:rRNA from 1 species